CUAUCCUUAACCAUGACCAUAACACUAAACCUAAAUAUUAACCCUUACACUACACUAAACAUUAAAUCUUACACUACACUAAACAUUAACCUCCACACUCCACUCCACUACACAUUAACCCCUACACUACACUCAGCCUAACCUACACAAUAUGUUAUAAUAUAAAAAUACAUCAUUGGUGUACCAUGUAAUAUGGAAAAAUAAUUAAAUUUUAGAGUUCUGGAGUCA